rnacentral:rRNA from 1 species
GUAGGUGAACCUGCGGAAGGAUCAUUAGUGAAUAUAGGAUGUCCAACUUAACUUGGAGUCCGAACUCUCACUUUCUAACCCUGUGCAUUUGUUUGGGAUAGUAGCCUCUCGGGGUGAACUCCUAUUCACUUAUAAACACAAAGUCUAUGAAUGUAUUUAAUUUAUAACAAAAUAAAACUUUCAACAACGGAUCUCUUGGGUCUCGCAUCGAUGAAGAACGCAGCGAAAUGCGAUAAGUAAUGUGAAUUGCAGAAUUCAGUGAAUCAUCGAAUCUUUGAACGCACCUUGCGCUCCAUGGUAUUCCGUGGAGCAUGCCUGUUUGAGUGUCAUGAAUACUUCAACCCUCCUCUUUUCUAGUGAAAGAGAAGGUGCUUGGUUUCUGAGCGUUUUGCUGGGCUCACGGUCGAGCUCGCUCGUAAUGCAUUAGCAUCCGCAAUCGAACUUCGGAUUGACUUGGGGUAAUAGACUAUUCGCUGAGGAAUUCUAAUCUUCGGAUUAGAGCCGGGUUAGGUUAAAGGAAGCUUCUAAUCCUAAUGUCUAUAUUUUAAGAUUAGAUCUCAAAUCAGGUAGGACUACCCGCUGAACUUAAGCAUAUCAAUAGCCCGGAGGA